rnacentral:rRNA from 1 species
CAGUAGCCGCGGUAAUACGAAGGGUGCAAGCGUUACUCGGAAUUACUGGGCGUAAAGCGUGCGUAGGUGGUGGUUUAAGUCCGUUGUGAAAGCCCUGGGCUCAACCUGGGAAUUGCAGUGGAUACUGGGUCACUAGAGUGUGGUAGAGGAUAGUGGAAUUUCCGGUGUAGCAGUGAAAUGCGUAGAGAUCGGAAGGAACAUCUGUGGCGAAGGCGGCUAUCUGGGCCAACACUGACACUGAGGCACGAAAGCGUGGGGAGCAAACAGGAUUAGAUACCCCUGUAGUCCCUGUCUCUUAUAC